GUUGGGUGCUGUAUUCUGGAAUCCUGGAGUAGAUCUGGUGCCAAUAUCUGAAUAAAAGUCUCUUCUUUGUUAAAAUUAUUAUGGUCAGACUGGUGAAUCUCUGAACAAUCCUGAACCCAUAACAUCUGGGGGCUCAGCUGGGAUUUGGGCAUUUAGCCAGAUCCACCUUCUUUUUUUGACUGGCCUUGGGACCCUGGAGAAAUCAGAUAGGCUCAGCAUUGGGAUGGAGCCAUCAUCUUCAAUGCCUAGACUUCACAAAAGACCUUGAAUCCCUGAGAGUUGCUGGUGUACUGGGUGCCAGGAAAUCAGGUUGGCCCAGGGUUUGGAGGGAGCCACUAGCACAUUCUCAACACUUAAGAUUGUGAGACAAGGGAUCAUUAGAAAACCUCCAGAAGUACAGAACUCUAGGGAUGAGAGGCCACUUCAGGAGGCCCAUGCCCCGAGACAUUCCAAGGCUCUGAGGCUGCCCUCAGUUCACAGACCAUCAGAGUGAACUGCCAUGCUGAGAAACGCAGCAAGCAUCUACUGAGGUCUCCUGUCUAUAUCUGUCUCAGCAGAUUUCCACUUGUCUGACAGACACCAUCCAGGAAACAGCUACUGACUAUGACAUUUGAGACCUGGAAAGUUGCUGAAAGUUGCUGUGGACCAGUCCAGCCAAUGUGAUUGUUCCCUGUUUCUUCAGCUGGGUCAGAUUACCAGGUUCCUUCUAGAUAGUAAUUCUGAUGUCAGUCAUCACAGGGCUUAACUAAAUGAUAAUUCCUGAGAAACCAGAGAUGGACCUGGCAGAGAGUCUAUCAACCCGGCCAAUAUCUAAUUAAAGCUUGCUUCAAAUUUGACUUUAAA